GAGGGCGUAGCUCAGUGGCAGAGCGCAUGCUUAGCAUUCAUGAGGGCUUGGGUCCAAUCCCCUGUUCCUCCA
rnacentral:tRNA from 1 species